rnacentral:rRNA from 1 species
UACGAAGGGGGCUAGCGUUGUUCGGAAUUACUGGGCGUAAAGCGCACGUAGGCGGACAUUUAAGUCAGGGGUGAAAUCCCAGAGCUCAACUCUGGAACUGCCUUUGAUACUGGGUGUCUUGAGUAUGGAAGAGGUGAGUGGAAUUCCGAGUGUAGAGGUGAAAUUCGUAGAUAUUCGCAAGAACACCAGUGGCGAAGGCGGCUUACUGGUCCGGUUCUGACGCUGAGGCGCGAAAGCGUGGGGAGCAAACAGG